AUUGAACGCUGGCGGCAUGCCUUACACAUGCAAGUCGAACGGCAGCACGGGAGCAAUCCUGGUGGCGAGUGGCGAACGGGUGAGUAAUAUAUCGGAACGUGCCCAGUCGUGGGGAUAACGUAGCGAAAGCUACGCUAAUACCGCAUACUAUCUAUGGAUGAAAGCGGGGGAUCGCAAGACCUCGCGCGAUUGGAGCGGCCGAUAUCAGAUUAGGUAGUUGGUGAGGUAAAGGCUCACUAAGCCGACGAUCUGUAGCUGGUCUGAGAGGACGACCAGCCACACUGGGACUGAGACACGGCCCAGACUCCUACGGGAGGCAGCAGUGGGGAAUUUUGGACAAUGGGCGCAAGCCUGAUCCAGCAAUGCCGCGUGCAGGAUGAAGGCC
rnacentral:rRNA from 1 species